UUGACCUCGGAUCAGGUAGGGAUACCCGCUGAACUUAAGCAUAUCAAUAAGCGGAGGAAAAGAAACCAACAGGGAUUGCCUUAGUAACGGCGAGUGAAGCGGCAAUAGCUCAAAUUUGAAAGCUGGCGUCUUCGACGUCCGCGUUGUAAUUUGUAGAGGAUGCUUCGGCGAAGACUCCUGCCUAAGUCCCCUGGAACGGGGCGUCAUAGAGGGUGAGAAUCCCGUAUGUGGCGGGCAGUCUAAGCCAUGUGAAGCUCCUUCGACGAGUCGAGUUGUUUGGGAAUGCAGCUCUAAAUGGGAGGUAAAUUUCUUCUAAAGCUAAAUAUUGGCCAGAGACCGAUAGCGCACAAGUAGAGUGAUCGAAAGAUGAAAAGCACUUUGGAAAGAGAGUUAAAAAGUACGUGAAAUUGUUGAAAGGGAAGCGCUUGCAACCAGACUCGCUCGUAGUUGCUCAGCCGGCCUCUUGGCCGGUGUACUCUUCUACGAUCGGGCCAGCAUCAGUUCGGGCGGCAGGAUAAAGGUGUCGGGAAUGUAGCACCCUUCGGGGUGUGUUAUAGCCCGGCGCGGAAUGCUGCCAGCCUGGACUGAGGAUCUCGCUUCGGCAAGGAUGCUGGCGUAAUGGUUGUAAGCGGCCCGUCUUGAAACACGGACCAAGGAGUCUAACAUCUAUGCGAGUGUUUGGGUGUCAAACCCAUGCGCGUAAUGAAAGUGAACGGAGGUGGGAACCCCUCACGGGGUGCACCAUCGACCGAUCCUGAUGUCUUCGGAUGGAUUUGAGUAAGAGCAUAGCUGUUGGGACCCGAAAGAUGGUGAACUAUGCCUGAAUAGGGUGAAGCCAGAGGAAACUCUGGUGGAGGCUCGCAGCGGUUCUGACGUGCAAAUCGAUCGUCAAAUUUGGGUAUAGGGGCGAAAGACUAAUCGAACCAUCUAGUAGCUGGUUCCUGCCGAAGU
rnacentral:rRNA from 1 species